rnacentral:lncRNA from 1 species
UUGCCUGGAGCUCUGAGGUUGAUAGGCACGAUGGAGCUUCUAUUGAAUGUUUAAGGCCUUACUGACUGACUGAGCUAUAGGCGACGUGAAGGCUGUUCUAUUAUCAGACUUUAUGGCAGCAGGCAGCCUAUACUGAACGAUGAUUUCAUUGUGUAAAAACUUAACUACUGUGUUGGUGGUUUCGUUUUCGGUAGCAAAUGCCUUAGUCUAUCUGGAGAAGGUGUCUACUAGUACUAGAAGGCAUUUGUACUUAGCCUGGUGUGGUUUGACUUCUGUAAAGUCAAUUUCUUACUUUUUUCUUGGCGAGGUUUUUCAGAGACAGUGGCCUGGGCUGGGUUUAGGACUUUGUUUGGCAUUUACUUGGGCGCAGGUUGUGAACUGGAGAGCUGCUUAAUCUGUUAGGCUUUGAAGACGGGGGAUCUUAAAAUGGCUCCGCAGGAGCUGAGGUAGCUUUGCUCUUUUUAAGUGGGUGGUAGACUGUAGGUGACGGACUAAAUUUUCUUUAAGGGUUCAGGAUAUGAAGCGUCUAGAGUCAGGAAGAAUCUACUAACUUUCCUGAUUUUUAUUGACUCUGAGAUCUGAAGCCAGUUUUUUGUUGUUGUUGUUGAGUGUACGGGAUUGUCAGGCAGAUCUGGCUGUGGAAAGGAGACUGUGGGCAGCAAGUUUAGAGGCGUGACUGAAAGUCUCGCUGCGACCUGAGCUGCUGAAUCAGGUUUCUGGUUACUAUGGGCAACGGCCGUGUUUUCUUUUUGAUGUCCUUUGCAGUGGAUCACAGCUACCUGCUGAGGUGAGGAUUCAGGAGAUAAUUCUGCAAACAGAACUUCCUGAGAACUGAGAUGGGGGAAAUCGCUGGUAUUAGAAGAGUGAAAAGAAACUCCUGGAGGGCAGAGGCAUGCCUGCCAUCUUCAUCAAUGCAUUACCACCACCCAACACUAUCGGGGGACCUGCCCUGAUAAUCAGUCUACAGGUGAAUCCAGCAGCUCCAGAGAGACAGCGACCAGCGAGAAGGGGCCAUGAUGAUGGUGGUGGUUUUGUCAAAACGAAAAGGGGGAUA